CUGGUUCUAUGAUGAAUAAAAUCAAAUCACCAUCUUUCGGCUGAGCUCGUGAUGGAUUUGCUUUUUUCUGAUAAAGCUG
rnacentral:snoRNA from 1 species